rnacentral:rRNA from 1 species
AACGAACGCUGGCGGCAGGCUUAACACAUGCAAGUCGAACGCCCCGCAAGGGGAGUGGCAGACGGGUGAGUAACGCGUGGGGAUCGACCCAGUUCUACGGAACAACUGAUGGAAACUUCAGCUAAUACCGUAUACGCCCUAAGGGCGAAAGAUUUAUCGGAAGUGGAUGAGCCCGCGUUGGAUUAGCUAGUUGGUGAGGUAACGGCUCACCAAGGCGACGAUCCAUAGCUGGUCUGAGAGGAUGCUCAGCCACACUGGGACUGAGACACGGCCCAGACUCCUACGGGAGGCAGCAGUGGGGAAUAUUGGACAAUGGGCGCAAGCAUGAUCCAGCCAUGCCGCGUGAGUGAUGAAGGCCUUAGGGUUGUAAAGCUCUUUCAGUAGGGACGAUAAUGACGGUACCUACAGAAGAAGCCCCGGCUAACUUCGUGCCAGCCGCCGCUGUAACAC